rnacentral:rRNA from 1 species
GGAAUCUUGCGCAAUGGGCGAAAGCCUGACCCAGCGACGCCGCGUGAGGGAUGAAGGUCUUCGGAUUGUAAACCUCUUUCAGUAGGGAAGAAGCGAAAGUGACGGUACCUAAAGAAGAAGCACCGGCUAACUAUGUGCCAGCAGCCGCGGUAAUACAUAGGGUGCAAGCGUUGUCCGGAAUUAUUGGGCGUAAAGAGCUCGUAGGUCGUUUGUCGCGUCGAUUGUGAAAAUCUGAGGCUCAACCUCAGACCUGCAGUCGAUACGGGCAAACUAGAGUGUGGUAGGGGAGACUGGAAUUCCUGGUGUAGCGGUGGAAUGCGCAGAUAUCAGGAGGAACACCAAUGGCGAAGGCAGGUCUCUGGGCCAUAACUGACACUGAGGAGCGAAAGUGCGGGGAGCGAACAGGAUUAGAUACCCUGGUAGUCCGCACCGUAAACGGUGGGCACUAGUUGUGGGAACCUUCCACGGUUUCCGCGACGCAGCAAACGCAUUAAGUGCCCCGCCUGGGGAGUACGAUCGCAAGAUUAAAACUCAAAGGAAUUGACGG